UACGUAGGGGGCAAGCGUUGUCCGGAAUCAUUGGGCGUAAAGAGCGUGUAGGCGGCUUGGUAAGUCCGCUGUGAAAGUCCAGGGCUCAACCCUGGAAUGCCGGUGGAAACUGUCAAGCUCGAGUCCGGAAGAGGCGAGUGGAAUUCCUGGUGUAGCGGUGAAAUGCGCAGAUAUCAGGAAGAACACCCGUGGCUAAGGCGGCUCUCUAGUACGGUACUGACGCUGAGACGCGAAAGCGUGGGGAGCGAACAGG
rnacentral:rRNA from 1 species